UAGUCCCAGCGGCAGACGGGUGAGUAACGCGUGGGAACAUACCUUUUGGUUCGGAACAACACAGGGAAACUUGUGCUAAUACCGGAUAAGCCCUUACGGGGAAAGAUUUAUCGCCGAAAGAUUGGCCCGCGUCUGAUUAGCUAGUUGGUGAGGUAACGGCUCACCAAGGCGACGAUCAGUAGCUGGUCUGAGAGGAUGAUCAGCCACAUUGGGACUGAGACACGGCCCAG
rnacentral:rRNA from 1 species